rnacentral:rRNA from 1 species
UACAGAGGGGGCAAGCGUUGUUCGGAAUUACUGGGCGUAAAGGGCGCGUAGGCGGCCUGUUAAGUCGAACGUGAAAUCCCCGGGCUCAACCCGGGAACUGCGUCCGAAACUGGCAGGCUCGAAUUCGGGAGAGGGAUGCGGAAUUCCAGGUGUAGCGGUGAAAUGCGUGGAUAUCUGGAGGAACAUCGGUGGCGAAGGCGGCAUCCUGGACCGAUAUUGACGCUGAGGCGCGAAAGCCAGGGGAGCAAACGGG